GGUUAAGCGACUAAGCGUACACGGUGGAUGCCUAGGCAGUCAGAGGCGAUGAAGGGCGUGCUAAUCUGCGAAAAGCGUCGGUAAGGUGAUAUGAACCGUUACAACCGACGAUACCCGAAUGGGGAAACCCAGUGUGUUUCGACACACUAUCAUCACAUGAAUACAUAGUGUGAUGAGGCGAACCGGGGGAACUGAAACAUCUCAGUACCCCGAGGAAAAGAAAUCAACCGAGAUUCCCCUAGUAGCGGCGAGCGAACGGGGAGGAGCCCAGAGUCUGCAUCAGCUUGUGUGUCAGUGGAAGCGUCUGGAAAGUCGCACAACAAAGGGUGACAGUCCCGUACACGAAGAUGCACAAGUUGUGAGCUCGAUGAGUAGGGCGGGACACGAGAUAUCCUGUCUGAAGAUGGGGGGACCAUCCUCCAAGGCUAAAUACUCCUGACUGACCGAUAGUGAACCAGUACCGUGAGGGAAAGGCGAAAAGAACCCCGGCGAGGGGAGUGAAAUAGAACCUGAAACCGUGUACGUACAAGCAGUGGGAGCCUUGAUUAAUCAGGGUGACUGCGUACCUUUUGUAUAAUGGGUCAGCGACUUAUAUUCUGUAGCAAGGUUAACCGAAUAGGGGAGCCGCAGGGAAACCGAGUCUUAACUGGGCGUUAAGUUGCAGGGUAUAGACCCGAAACCCGGUGAUCUAGCCAUGGGCAGGUUGAAGGUUGGGUAACACUAACUGGAGGACCGAACCGACUAAUGUUGAAAAAUUAGCGGAUGACUUGUGGCUGGGGGUGAAAGGCCAAUCAAACCGGGAGAUAGCUGGUUCUCCCCGAAAGCUAUUUAGGUAGCGCCUCGUGAAUUCAUCUUCGGGGGUAGAGCACUGUUUCGACUAGGGGGUCAUCCCGACUUACCAACUCGAUGCAAACUGCGAAUACCGAAGAAUGUUAUCACGGGAGACACACGGCGGGUGCUAACGUCCGUCGUGAAGAGGGAAACAACCCAGACCGCCAGCUAAGGUCCCAAAGUCAUGGUUAAGUGGGAAACGAUGUGGGAAGGCCCAGACAGCCAGGAUGUUGGCUUAGAAGCAGCCAUCAUUUAAAGAAAGCGUAAUAGCUCACUGGUCGAGUCGGCCUGCGCGGAAGAUGUAACGGGGCUAAACCAUGCACCGAAGCUGCGGCAGCGACACUAUGUGUUGUUGGGUAGGGGAGCGUUCUGUAAGCCGUUGAAGGUGGCCUGUGAGGGUUGCUGGAGGUAUCAGAAGUGCGAAUGCUGACAUAAGUAACGAUAAUGCGGGUGAAAAACCCGCACGCCGGAAGACCAAGGGUUCCUGUCCAACGUUAAUCGGGGCAGGGUGAGUCGACCCCUAAGGCGAGGCCGAAAGGCGUAGUCGAUGGGAAACGGGUUAAUAUUCCUGUACUGGUUGUUACUGCGAAGGGGGGACGGAGAAAGCUAGGUUGGCCGGGCGACGGUUGUCCCGGUUUAAGCGUGCAGGUGGGUGUUUUUGGUAAAUCCGGAACACUGUUAACACUGAGGCGUGAUGACGAGUCACUACGGUGAUGAAGUAACCGAUGCUACGCUUCCAGGAAAAGCCUCUAAGCUCUAGGUAACAAUCAAUCGUACCCCAAACCGACACAGGUGGUCAGGUAGAGAAUACUCAGGCGCUUGAGAGAACUCGGGUGAAGGAACUAGGCAAAAUGGUGCCGUAACUUCGGGAGAAGGCACGCUGGAUUUGGUGAAGUCCCUUGCGGAUGGAGCUGAGACCAGUCGCAGAUACCAGCUGGCUGCAACUGUUUAAUAAAAACACAGCACUGUGCAAACACGAAAGUGGACGUAUACGGUGUGACGCCUGCCCGGUGCCGGAAGGUUAAUUGAUGGGGUAAGCUUUCGGGCGAAGCUCUUGAUCGAAGCCCCGGUAAACGGCGGCCGUAACUAUAACGGUCCUAAGGUAGCGAAAUUCCUUGUCGGGUAAGUUCCGACCUGCACGAAUGGCGUAAUGAUGGCCAGGCUGUCUCCACCCGAGACUCAGUGAAAUUGAACUCGCUGUGAAGAUGCAGUGUACCCGCGGCAAGACGGAAAGACCCCGUGAACCUUUACUAUAGCUUGACACUGAACCUUGAGCCUUGAUGUGUAGGAUAGGUGGGAGGCUUUGAAGCGUGGACGCCAGUCUGCGUGGAGCCAACCUUGAAAUACCACCCUUUAAUGUUUGAUGUUCUAACGUGGGCCCCUGAGCGGGGUUGCGGACAGUGUCUGGUGGGUAGUUUGACUGGGGCGGUCUCCUCCCAAAGAGUAACGGAGGAGCACGAAGGUUAGCUAAUCCUGGUCGGACAUCAGGAGGUUAGUGCAAAGGCAUAAGCUAGCUUGACUGCGAGAGUGACGGCUCGAGCAGGUGCGAAAGCAGGUCUUAGUGAUCCGGUGGUUCUGAAUGGAAGGGCCAUCGCUCAACGGAUAAAAGGUACUCCGGGGAUAACAGGCUGAUACCGCCCAAGAGUUCAUAUCGACGGCGGUGUUUGGCACCUCGAUGUCGGCUCAUCACAUCCUGGGGCUGAAGUAGGUCCCAAGGGUAUGGCUGUUCGCCAUUUAAAGUGGUACGCGAGCUGGGUUUAGAACGUCGUGAGACAGUUCGGUCCCUAUCUGCCGUGGGCGUUGGAAGAUUGAGAGGGGUUGCUCCUAGUACGAGAGGACCGGAGUGAACGCACCACUGGUGUACGGGUUGUGAUGCCAAUUGCAUUGCCCGGUAGCUAAGUGCGGAAGAGAUAACCGCUGAAAGCAUCUAAGCGGGAAACUUGCCUCGAGAUGAGUCUUCCCUGGGACCUUGAGUCCCCAGAAGGGCCGUUGAAGACGACGACGUAGAUAGGCCGGGUGUGUAAGCGCAGCGAUGCGUUGAGCUAACCGGUACUAAUGACCCGAGAGGCUUAACCUU
rnacentral:rRNA from 1 species